UACGAGGGGGGCAAGCGUUGUUCGGAAUUAUUGGGCGUAAAGGGUGCGUAGGCGGUUUGGUAAGUCUCUUGUGAAAUCUACAGGCUCAACUUGUAGACUGCAAGGGAAACUGCCGGGCUUGAGUAUGGGAGAGGUGAGUGGAAUUCCUGGUGUAGCGGUGAAAUGCGUAGAUAUCAGGAGGAACACCUGUGGCGAAAGCGGCUCACUGGACCAUAACUGACGCUGAUGCACGAAAGCUAGGGGAGCAAACAGG
rnacentral:rRNA from 1 species